CAUCUACUCCCUUCGUUUGGAAUUACUUGUCUCGGAAAUGGAUGUAUCUAGAACUAGAUACAUCUAUUUCCGAGACAAGUAAUUCCGAACGGAGGGAGUAGAUG
rnacentral:pre_miRNA from 1 species